UUGAACGCUGGCGGCGUGCUUAACACAUGCAAGUCGAUCGGUAACAGGUGUAGCAAUACGGCAGCGGCAGACGGGAGAGUAACACGUGGGAACGCGCCCUUUGGUUCGGAAUAACUCAGGGAAACUUGAGCUAAUACCGGAUAAGCCCUUACGGGGAAAGAUUUAUCGCCAAAGGAACGGCCCGCGUCCGAUUAGCUAGUUGGUGAGGUAACGGCUCACCAAGGCGACGAUCGGUAGCUGGUCUGAGAGGAUGACCAGCCUCACUGGGACUGAGACACGGCCCAGACUCCUACGGGAGGCAGCAGUGGGGAAUAUUGGACAAUGGGCGCAAGCCUGAUCCAGCCAUGCCGCGUGAGUGAUGAAGGCCUUAGGGUUGUAAAGCUCUUUUAGCAGGGAAGAUAAUGACGGUACCUGCAGAAAAAGCCCCGGCUAACUUCGU
rnacentral:rRNA from 1 species